UUAUAAGUUGUCUAGAGCGUCAG
rnacentral:piRNA from 1 species